UACGUAGGGUGCAAGCGUUAAUCGGAAUUACUGGGCGUAAAGCGCACGUAGGCGGCUUUGCAAGUUAGAGGUGAAAGCCUGGGGCUCAACUCCAGAACUGCCUUUAAAACUGCAUCGCUUGAAUCCAGGAGAGGUGAGUGGAAUUCCGAGUGUAGAGGUGAAAUUCGUAGAUAUUCGGAAGAACACCAGUGGCGAAGGCGGCUCACUGGACUGGUAUUGACGCUGAGGUGCGAAAGCGUGGGGAGCAAACAGG
rnacentral:rRNA from 1 species